GACGAACGCUGGCGGCGUGCUUAACACAUGCAAGUCGAACGAAGAGCGACGGAAGCUUGCUUCUAUCAAUCUUAGUGGCGCACGGGUGAGUAACGCGUAAUCAACCUGCCCUUCAGAGGGGGACAACAGUUGGAAACGACUGCUAAUACCGCAUACGAUCUAAUCUCGGCAUCGAGGAUGGAUGAAAGGUGGCCUCUACAUGUAAGCUAUCACUGAAGGAGGGGAUUGCGUCUGAUUAGCUAGUUGGAGGGGUAACGGCCCACCAAGGCGAUGAUCAGUAGCCGGUCUGAGAGGAUGAACGGCCACAUUGGGACUGAGACACGGCCCAGACUCCUACGGGAGGCAGCAGUGGGGAAUCUUCCGCAAUAGACGAAAGUCUGACGGAGCAACGCCGCGUGAGUGAUGACGGCCUUCGGGUUGUAAAGCUCUGUUAAUCGGGACGAAAGGCCUUCUUGCGAAUAGUGAGAAGGAUUGACGGUACCGGAAUAGAAAGCCACGGCUAACUACGUG
rnacentral:rRNA from 1 species